rnacentral:rRNA from 1 species
CCUACGGGAGGCAGCAGUAAGGAAUAUUGGUCAAUGGGCGCAAGCCUGAACCAGCCAUGCCGCGUGCAGGAAGACGGCCCUAUGGGUUGUAAACUGCUUUUGAACAAGAGAAAACCUCGGUACGUGUACCGAGCUGAUAGUAUUGUUAGAAUAAGCAUCGGCUAACUUCGUGCCAGCAGCCGCGGUAAGACGAAGGAUGCAAGCGUUAUCCGGAUUCAUUGGGUUUAAAGGGUGCGUAGGCGGCCUGAUAAGUCAGUGGUGAAAUCUCUCAGCUUAACUGAGAAACUGCCAUUGAUACUGUCGGGCUUGAGUACAGAUGAUGUGGGCGGAAUAUGACAUGUAGUGGUGAAAUACUUAGAUAUGUCAUAGAACACCGAUUGCGAAGGCAGCUCACAAAACUGUAACUGACGCUGAGCGACGAAGUAGCGGGAGUACAACAGAGUAGUAUACCUACGUAGUCCGCGACCGUAACGAUAGAUUACUCGUUGUUGGUGAUAU